CCCUGAAAAUCCACGAAACUUCUGCCGAUAUAGCAGUUACUUAUUUUUCUCCUUCCCGUUCCACUCACAGUUGACAAACUCAAAGAGCUUCUCAGGCGAAGCAAUGGCGGUGCCUCUCUUCAACCUCGCCCCCAAUCUUACCGACUGAGUCUGAUUCUUUGGCCCUCCCUCUCAUCCUCAAAUAUAAAUUCAUUCUUCGCUAGGACGAAGACUUUCGGCAAGAAAAACACGUUUCCGACCUCGAGCAAGCUUUCCAGGCCGGCAUCUCUGUAGAAAUGUAUCCAGUGGUUCAGCGAGCCCAGACUCAGGGGAGGAGCGAGGAGCGUCGUUUUGGCCACCAAGGUUACGGGACCGUCUGGGCAGAUGACUUGGAUACGAGAUGGCCCCAAGUGUUUGAAUGCUAAGAAUAUCACCGAGGCCAUUGACGGCAGCUUAAGGUGAUUGCAGACAGAUUACAAUGGCCUGAUCGGUUUCUAUGUUCCCAUGUUUGGAGAAAUUGAGUAUGAUCCAACCCGAAAGUUCAGUUCGAUUCCCAUAGACGAACAACUUGAUGCUCUAGGAAUAGCUGUUGAUUCUGGUAAGAUUAGAUAUGUUGGUCUCAGUAACGAAACACCAUAUGGGGUGAUGAAGUUUGUUCAGGUAGCUGCUCGCCAUCCAAAGAUUGUCUCUGUGUAGGUUGUCUAUUUGAUCAUUGCACUCUCAGUCAAAUGCUUACUGCAUUGUUGCUGCUGAUUUUUGGACUAAUGCAACUUAUUGUCGAUUUGAUAGAACUCAUACAGCUUGCUCUGUCGAACUUUUGAUUCUGGGUUGGCUGAAUGCUGUCAUCAUGAGACGUAUUCAAAGUGUUGGUUUUCAGAAAAAGUGAAUAGCUGAACAAUUAAUUAUUUCAUCCGGUAUGAAAUGAUUGGGAAAGCUUGCUUGAUUUGUGCAUGCCAAUUUCUUGAUGAAGUUGAAGUUAUGUUACUUUUCCUAUCCUGUCCUGACUCCUGAGCAGUUCUUGAAGAAAUUCAAUUGAAUAUUCUUGCUAAUUAGUAGCUUGAAUAAUAUAACAUUAGUAAGUGGAAUUAAAAUUCCAACAGAGAACAUGAGAGUCACUUUGGGGAAGGGCUUCUUAUCUAAACGUGCAUUUUGGGUUUUCAAUUUUUAUGGCUUUCAAACCUAGGUAAGCCAUUGAAUAAAACUUAUUCAUGUGAGUUUAUUGAGUGGUAAAAUGAUCGAUUUAAUUAUAUUAUUUAUAAAUGAGUUCUGCCACUUCAUGUAAUACUACUAAUGAUUUUCUGUUGGGCUAUUGAAUGUUUUAGCAUCAGUUUAUUAGCCUACAGCCCCCUGGCAAUGGGUUUACUCUCUGGGAUGUAUUUUUUGCCUGAUUGGGGGUCUGAUACAACCUGUCCGAUCACAUCAUAAGAGCAGCAGCCAUGGAAUACAUUGAUAUUGCAGGGAAGUACAAUGUUCAUCCAGUAUCUCUUGCAAUAGGUUUGACACCUCUCUCUCCAUUUCUUUAUAGUUUCUUCGUGUUCUUGUCCACGUUAGGACUGUGGUUUGGAGACUUAAUGCUGGAAAAUGAAAAGUCACCCGUUUGCUUGUUCCUCUUCCCCUUCUCAAAAUGUACAUUUAUUUUUCUUAAUAAUGUUAGAUUUAUAAGUCUUGAGUGCUAACUAAGCAAAAUUACAUGAAUAAAAUUGCUAAAAUUAAAAUGACGGGACCCGAAACAGAAAAUGUACCAAACCAGAAAACCCAAAAUGUAAUUUGGGAUACAUUUUAUGCCAAAAGUUCCACUCUAACCAAUUUAGCUAAAAACAAAAAAGAGACAACAAGAAGAAUCGAAUUGUUCCAAGGCAUAUUCAGCUGGUUGUGCGUAACGACGAGGAGUUGAGCAAGCUUUUGGGGACUGUUACUAUGGCUAAUGGCGGUGUUUUGCCAAACAUUCAUUAGACUCUGUUGCCGAAGAAGAUUGGUAAAGGGAAAGGAGA